rnacentral:misc_RNA from 1 species
CAAGAAGCCGAAAGGCUACUUAAAACCAUCGCGAACUUAUCCAAGUUGCUUCGGCGGCGCGGCUCCCCUCACGGGGGACCGCAGCCCCCGCCUCUCAGGAGGUAAGAGGCAGCCGCCGGAGGUACGAAACUCUGUAUUAUAGUGGUAUCUCUGAGUAUAAAACAAAUAAGUUA